rnacentral:misc_RNA from 1 species
CCCGAGGAUUAUCUAACGGUUGGUGCAAUAAAGUUUUUUGUUGGUCGUUGGUUUGGUUGCUGGGAACUGGCGGAGUAGGAAUGAGGAGGGAAAAUGGAGGAUUUUGCUUUUUCUUUGGGUUUAGUGAUCUUUAUUCAGUUACUGAUACAUUGUGUUAGUUAAUGUAAGCGCAAUUGACGAAGUGAAUAUUAAGGUUUUUUCUUUUUGUAAAUGAUUUUCUUUUUUUUGGGGGGGGGG